GUCUUGAAGGAAAUUCAAAAUAUGGAAUAAGAAGAGAAGGGGGAAGAACAUCAUCUUCUUUCUGAUAGUAAUUCUGGUACGACAAUUUUUAAUGAAUUCGACCAUGACGAAACUUUAGACAUCAAGGAAGAAAUCCUUGAAGAUAAAGAGACUGCAG